rnacentral:rRNA from 1 species
UACGUAGGGGGCAAGCGUUGUUCGGAAUUACUGGGCGUAAAGGGCGCGUAGGCGGCACAGCAAGUCGGGAGUGAAACCUAUCAGCUCAACUGAUAGCCUGCUUCUAAAGCUACAGAGCUUGAGUGCAGAAGAGGGGAGUGGAAUUCCCAGUGUAGCGGUGAAAUGCGUAGAUAUUGGGAGGAACACCAGUGGCGAAAGCGGCUCCCUGGCCUGUAACUGACGCUGAGGCGCGAAAGCGUGGGUAGCAAACAGG